rnacentral:rRNA from 1 species
UACGUAGGGUGCAAGCGUUGUCCGGAAUUAUUGGGCGUAAAGAGCUCGUAGGCGGUCUGUUGCGUCGGCUGUGAAAACCCGGGGCUCAACUCCGGGCCUGCAGCCGAUACGGGCAGACUAGAGUUCGGCAGGGGAGACUGGAAUUCCUGGUGUAGCGGUGAAAUGCGCAGAUAUCAGGAGGAACACCAAUGGCGAAGGCAGCACUCUGGGACGUGACUGACGCUGAGACGCGAAAGCGUGGGGAGCAAACAGG